UACGGAGGGUCCAAGCGUUAUCCGGAAUCAUUGGGUUUAAAGGGUUCGCAGGCGGUUCAUUAAGUCAGUGGUGAAAUCUCUCGGCUCAACCGAGAAACUGCCAUUGAUACUGAUGGACUUGAAUAUAGUUGGAGUAGGCGGAAUGUGUAGUGUAGCGGUGAAAUGCUUAGAUAUUACACAGAACACCGAUAGCGAAGGCAGCUUACUAAACUAUUAUUGACGCUCAUGAACGAAAGCGUGGGGAGCGAAC
rnacentral:rRNA from 1 species